rnacentral:rRNA from 1 species
UACAGAGGGUGCAAGCGUUGUCCGGAAUUACUGGGCGUAAAGGGCGCGUAGGCGGUCCGAUAAGUAGGGGGUGAAAUCUCACGGCUCAACCGGGAGGCUGCCUUCUAGACUGUCGGACUUGAGCACGGUAGAGGCAGAUGGAAUUCCCGGUGUAGCGGUGGAAUGCGUAGAGAUCGGGAAGAACACCAGUGGCGAAGGCGGUCUGCUGGGCCGUUGCUGACGCUGAGGCGCGACAGCGUGGGGAGCAAACAGG